GGGGUUUAGCUCAGUUGGUAGAGCGCCUGCUUUGCAAGCAGGAUGUCAGCGGUUCGAGUCCGCUAACCUCCACAUUAGGUAUUAUCAGCAACUAGGAAAGACCUAGACUGCUGGUGAGAACCAGCCAGAACCUUGAAAACUGCAUAU
rnacentral:tRNA from 4 species